rnacentral:rRNA from 1 species
GACGUAGGGCGCGAGCGUUGUCCGGAUUUAUUGGGCGUAAAGAGCUCGUAGGCGGCUUGUCGCGUCGACUGUGAAAUCCCGCGGCUCAACUGCGGGUCUGCAGUCGAUACGGGCAGGCUAGAGUUCGGUAGGGGAGACUGGAAUUCCUGGUGUAGCGGUGAAAUGCGCAGAUAUCAGGAGGAACACCGAUGGCGAAGGCAGGUCUCUGGGCCGAUACUGACGCUGAGGCGCGAAAGCCAGGGGAGCAAACGGG